GACUAGAUGCCGAUGUAACGGGCCUAUUGUCAAGUGGUGUAAGUUCGGCGAAUGCAUCUAAUGGUGGCUCAAUGAAUUGGACGAACACUAAGAAAGCAAAUGUCAGCAUAAAUAAUGGUCCAUCCUAUGAGCAUUUGAUGGUCAUGAAGGCUCUUCAGCAAGUAAUAGAGCUGUCAAAAAGAUUGAUUUGAGAAUAAGAAAUAUUGAAGACAAAAUUGAUCGGAAAAUUACUCCUGAAAUUGAAGGAAAUAAUUGGGAGGGACUUCCACUUAAAGACGUAACUGAAUUUCAAGCAUUUGAGAAAAAGUUAUUGUCGGACCCCCAGACGUUUGAUGCUGUGGUUCUUCUAGUGGAAAGAUGUGGUGGCGAUACUGUUGCUGAAGCGGUAACUAGGGCGUGGGAUCGAAUAACAACGAAGGAGUGUCGAUCUGCUUGCAAUUGGUGCGGAAUUAAGAAAAAGGGUGUGAAGAAACAUAAAAUUUCAGGCUCUAAAAUUGUUGAUGCUGUUCACAAGGGUGUCCGUAAGACACUACCAGACGCUAAGGAUUCUCAGUUGGAAAAAGAAAC